rnacentral:rRNA from 1 species
GAAUUCAGAGUUGGAUCNUGGUUCAGAACGAACGCUGGCGGCAAGCUUAACACAUGCAAGUCGAACGGAUUAUCUUUGUAGCUUGCUACGAAGAUAAUUAGUGGCAGACGGGUGAGUAAUGCAUAGGAAUCUACCUAGUAGUAUAGGAUAGCCACUAGAAAUGGUGGGUAAUACUGUAUAAUCCCUGCGGGGGAAAGAUUUAUCGCUACAUGAUGAGCCUAUGUUAGAUUAGCUAGUUGGUAGGGUAAAGGCCUACCAAGGCGAUGAUCUAUAGCUGGUCUGAGAGGAUGAUCAGCCACACUGGAACUGAGAUACGGUCCAGACUCCUACGGGAGGCAGCAGUGGGGAAUAUUGGACAAUGGGCGCAAGCCUGAUCCAGCUAUGCCGCGUGAGUGAGGAAGGCCUUAGGGUUGUAAAACUCUUUCAGUGGGGAAGAUAAUGACGGUACCCACNGAAGAAGNCNCGGNNAACUCGGGAUCCCG